GACGAACGCUGGCGGCGUGCUUAACACAUGCAAGUCGAACGGAAAGGCCCUGCUUUUGUGGGGUGCUCGAGUGGCGAACGGGUGAGUAACACGUGAGUAACCUGCCCUUGACUUUGGGAUAACUUCAGGAAACUGGGGCUAAUACCGGAUAGGAGCUCCUGCUGCAUGGUGGGGGUUGGAAAGUUUCGGCGGUUGGGGAUGGACUCGCGGCUUAUCAGCUUGUUGGUGGGGUAGUGGCUUACCAAGGCUUUGACGGGUAGCCGGCCUGAGAGGGUGACCGGCCACAUUGGGACUGAGAUACGGCCCAGACUCCUACGGGAGGCAGCAGUGGGGAAUAUUGCACAAUGGGCGGAAGCCUGAUGCAGCAACGCCGCGUGCGGGAUGACGGCCUUCGGGUUGUAAACCGCUUUCACCUGUGACGAAGCGUGAGUGAGGGUAAUGGGUAAAGAAGCACCGGCUAACUACGUG
rnacentral:rRNA from 1 species